GCCAGUGUGACAUAGAGGUUUGAGGGUUGGAUUAUGACUCUGGAGACCAGGGUUCGAAUCCCUGCUCAGCCA
rnacentral:tRNA from 1 species